rnacentral:misc_RNA from 1 species
CUGGAAUCUCAGCAUAUCUGCACGGGCCAUGGCUUCAGCUUGGGCAAUUCUCUGCCUGAAUGUCUGGGCCAUCUCUUCAGCCUUCUCAAAGACAAGCUUUGGAUUGCGAAUCAUGUCACCAGGUGUAGGCUCUAGCUUCUUUGUAGAAAGGCUCACUCGACCUCUCUCACGGUCAUGGCUCAAUAUCAUGACCUUAAGUGUGUCACCAGGCUGGAGGACUGUUGCAAUAUCUGAGACACGAUCAUGACUAAUCUGGCUCACAUGAAGAAGGCCAUUGAUCCCACCAAUGUCAAUGAAGGCACCAUAUGGUUUCAAGCUCUGAACACUUCCAAGAACAACUGAGCCUAUGCCCAAUUGUGCCUGACUAUCAGCCAUGGCCUUACGAUUGCUGAGAACAAGUCUCGAUUGCUCUUCAUCAACCUCAACAAACUUCAGAGGAAGCUCUUUUUCCAAAAGCUCCUCCGCAGUUGAUUUCGUUGAUAUCUGGGAGAAUGGAACAAAACCACGAAGGCCCUCCACCAGAGCGACCACUCCACCUUUAUUUGCACCAACCACCUUGCCUUUGAUGACAACAUCUUCAGCUUGAAGCUGCCUGCAUCUCUCCCAUGCAAGGUCAUAUUGAAUUGAUCUCAAACUCAAAACCAAACUAUCAUCAGCUUCAUUUUCUCCAACUACCACAAACUCCUCACGCAAGCCAGGAAAUAUUCCGGCUUCCUCUACAUGUCUGAUGGUGUGAAGUGAAGCUUCUCGUAAAGGCAAGUAUGCAGAUGAUUUUGCAGUUAUGUCAACUAGAGCUCCAUUUGCAUCUACAGAAAAAACCGUUCCUUUGACCUUAGUACCAACUUCGGAGUCAAAAUCAUAUUUUUCAAGGGCAGAGUGAAAAUCAUCAACAGUAAAGGCAACACCUUCCAUAGGUGUAGUGCGGCAUCUCUCAUAGGCAUCCUCAAACAUCUCUUUAAGUUUUAGUCUUUCUCUUGUUUGUGCAUUUGCGAUUACUGCUGCAGCUUGUAUUACAAUUCUUGGCUUCUGCUUACUCUGAUGGUGAUGAUAAUUACUCGGAUUCACAAGCCUUGUUGUCGACAUUGGAGGGCACUUCAACCCAACGAAUUGCUGUGUUAGAGAAGCCAUUUUUUCGCUCACUUAGAUGAAU